rnacentral:tRNA from 1 species
GCCCCGUUAGCUCAGUGGUAGAGCGUGUCCAUGUUUCUCUCUCUCUUCCGUCUCCUGAAACCUAAACUCUUCUUUCCGCUCCGCUCUCCCCUAUACUCCUAAAAUCUCACAUGGCAAGACACUGGUUCGAUUCCAGUACAGGGCA